ACGCCAGCAGCCGUGUAUUCGCUCAACUUUGCACACGUGCAACUAAAUUAAUUAUGCAAACAUAGCAAAGUUGUUUUCGCUUUAAAACCACGCUGCAGGCAGUACAAAACAUUCAUUUCCACACGCUUAGCUAUCUCAGACUGCUCUGUCAUUCUCUCAAAAACAGUCAACAUCUGUUUAAUGUUUCAUACUCUGACAAACAACUGCCCGGGAUGUGUGCAGUCGCUUUACAUGAAGCCACUGCGAGCAGAAACAGCCUACUGGUUAAACUAAAGCUGGAUGCCCUACUUCCGGAUGGCCUCUAGAAGUUGGAGCUCUUUCUCAGGGGAGCUGAGCUACCCUGUUUCCUCAAGCAGAGCACUGGAAAUUUGACGAGGGGAGACCCAAAUAAGAAACAGGAAUGACAUAUUGUGACAUUGAUAUCCACUGAGUUUGACUAGAUAAAGGAGAUGUUUCUUGCUCACUCAAUACUCAAGGCAGCACCUGAGAACCUUGAUGUGCUUUUAAAAUGAAUUAAUGUAACUUUGCAGCAGAACUUUUCCGGUUACUAUGUCACGAGAGCUUGCAUGAAUUCCUUGUAGUAUAAAAAGACAUUUCACAGGACAUCCAGUAAAUAUAUUGAUGCUGAAAAUGCGCUACAUUUUACUGUUAAAUGUAAUGUUAAAUUUAGUGGCUUCCUAUGUACAAAGUAUCACCAUGAGUUUGGAAAAGUAGCAUCAUACCUGAUGCGUGUAUUUGAUAUAGCAGAUUAAUAAUUACCUGGUUGGAUUAUUUCAAAUCCUGUAACAAAUGCAUUAUGACUUGUUUGUAACUUUGAGGCUAAAUAAUACGUAAUCAUGACCUGACAUGGGAAAGAAGGGAAACCGGGGAGCUGCGCCAGGAGGAUUGUCUGCCUGUAAUGCUACAAUGUUGGCUCACUACUUGCUGACAAAAAGCUUGUUUUUCUCAAUGGGUGAACAUACAAAUAAAACCAACAUGUUUCUGC